CCAUCAGAACUCCUAAGUUAAACGUGCUUGGGCGAGAGUAGUACUAAGAUGGGUGACAUCUUGGGAAGUCCUCGUGUUGCACCCC
rnacentral:rRNA from 1 species